AUCUUAAUAUACAAACACAAUGUAAAUCUACAAGAAUCUUUGUGUUAUUAUUUCAUAGAUUAUGAUAUUGCCUUUGGGUAAACUCAAAGAAAUAUUUCUGAUCCUUGUAAGAUUAAGUUAAAUUCAAUUAAAACUGGGAGUAAAACAAUCCUUCCCAUCAUGCUGUCUGCAACUUGUGAGGGACGAGGGCCUGUAUCAAUCUUUAUGGUUAUAAAUUCAAAUUAGAGUUCUACCUCUGCAUUGUAUGGAAUUAAUUACUAAAGUGUGGUCUUACAUCCUCAAUAGCAUUCAUAACCCCACAACAGUGUUGAGUUUCAAUAUGUGCUCAAAUAUGAGGCUACAUACUUUGGAUGAUUUAUUUAAUAUAAUGAGAUGCCAGCCAGGGCCUGAUACCUUGGAAAAUGGCUUGGAAAUUGGCUUGGAAAUUGUUCCUGCUUUUAUGAAUAUGAAUCAAUGAGAAAGCUAGGCCUAGCAUUUUCUAUGUAGCAAGCCAUACACAGGGGAAAAAAUCCUUCACCCAAGUAGGAGGACAGACAGUUCUCACAGUGGAAAUAGUUGCACGGUUGCAAAAUACAAUGAGUUUGUUUUCCAAACAAGAGGGAAUUUGGUAUACCAGUACUUCCUUUACCAGCCUGAGAUGUAUCACUGUGACAUACGUAAAGUAUGCACUACAUACAUACAUACAUACAUACAUACUUCCAAAUACAUUCCAUAUAUAUAUAUAUAUAUAUAUAUAUAUAUAUAUAAUUUCAUGAUCUCUCUCCCUCUCCUUCCCCUUCCCUGUUCCUCCUGCUACCUCUCUCCGUCUCCCUCCCUCCUCCUCCUCCUCCUCCUCUUCCUUCUUCCUCUCUCUCUCUCUCUCUCUCUCUCUCUUUCUCUAACAAAAAGCAAAAUUCUUACAUCUUCCUGUCUCUAAAAGGCUGAUUUAUCAUAUGAAACCAACAGUUUAGGCAAUUCUGCAUAAAAGAAUUUUAUCCUGAUUAUCCUCAUUUAUCAUGUUAAUCACCUGUUUUAAUUUUUAAAUGCAUUUGUGUGUGGGUAUGUGUGUGUGUGUAAUAUGUAGUGUGUGUUGUGUGUGUGUAUGUUUGUUUGUGUGUAGUGUGUGUGUGUUUUGUGGUAUGUGUAUAGUAUGUGAGUGUGUGUGAGUGUGUGUGUGUGUGUGUGUGUGUAUAAAUAAAAGUGUACAUACCAGGACAUAGAAGCACAGAUAUGGAAGUCAGAGAACAGCUUCCCACUUCUAUUUCAUUUUAAGGCAAGGCUUAUUGUUUCUACCUCUGGGCCUCAUAUGCCAGGCUAGGUGACCCUUUAACUUCCAGCCAAUAUACGUGUCCCUGCCUUCCAUCUCACUGUAGCAGUAGUAUGACUGCAGAUGCUCGCAGUCACAUCUGGCUUUUUGCAAGAGGUUUGUGGAUUCAGUCACCAGGUUUACACAAGUGCUUGGAACCGUUGCGCCAUCUUCCUGGCCAUUGUUUUAAUGUCUUACUCUUAAUAUUGCAUUAAUUGUCCACUAUAAGAUGUACUCUUACUUUAUUUAGCACAUUUAUGGUAUGCAAAGCAUAUCUGAAAUUCUCUAUGUACUUGCCCACUCUACUUUUUUUAUUGUGUUAAAUUGACACAUUAUUCCUAUGUAAAAACCUAUUGCAACAACAUGUAAGCUAAAACAGCUUUAUUAAACUAUUCUAAAAUGUGUGAUUCUAGUUUUGAGAUGUUAUUCCCUCUUUCUAAUUCAUGUAAUACAUUCAUGGAGACAAAAUAAAAAGUAAAACUCUCAAUUUUUUCAAUUAAGUUCCUUGCUCUAGUUUUUGGAAAGAAAUUCAGAUGUGUCAGAAAAUUGAAUUUGAAACAUCUUUAUUUUGGUAAAGAAUUUUGUAGAAAAUACUACAUAAAGCAU
rnacentral:lncRNA from 1 species